GAUGAACGCUGGCGGCGUGCCUAAUACAUGCAAGUCGAGCGAACAGACGAGGAGCUUGCUCCUCUGACGUUAGCGGCGGACGGGUGAGUAACACGUGGAUAACCUACCUAUAAGACUGGGAUAACUUCGGGAAACCGGAGCUAAUACCGGAUAAUAUAUUGAACCGCAUGGUUCAAUAGUGAAAGACGGUUUUGCUGUCACUUAUAGAUGGAUCCGCGCCGCAUUAGCUAGUUGGUAAGGUAACGGCUUACCAAGGCAACGAUGCGUAGCCGACCUGAGAGGGUGAUCCGCCACACUGGAACUGAGACACGGUCCAGACUCCCACGGGAGGCAGCAGUAGGGAAUCCUCCGCAAUGGGCGAAAGCCUGACGGGGCAACGCCGCGUGAGUGAUGAAGGUCUUCGGAUUGUAAAACUCUGUUAUUAGGGAAGAACAAAUGUGUAAGUAACUAUGCACGUCUUGAUGGUACCUAAUCAGAAAGCCACGGCUAACUACGUG
rnacentral:rRNA from 1 species